rnacentral:tRNA from 1 species
GGAUGCUUAGCUCAGCUGGGAGAGCACCGCCCUUACAAGGCGGGGGUCACUGGUUCGAACCCAGUAGCAUCCACCA